rfam:Eutrema salsugineum unplaced genomic scaffold scaffold_13, whole genome shotgun sequence.
GUCUACAAUAUUGGAUAACCAUGUGCCUUUUUAAAACAUUCUCUCCGAACAUCAUCGGAGACAGAUAUUAAUGCUUAUUUUCCUCUCUUGAUGGACUACGAGUUUGGCUAUUCUGUCACAUUC